AGGCUCUCGCAUCGAUGAAGAACGCAGCGAAAUGCGAUACGUAAUGUGAAUUGCAGAAUUCAGUGAAUCAUCGAAUCUUUGAACGCACCUUGCGCUCCUUGGUAUUCCAAGGAGCAUGCCUGUUUGAGUGUCACGUAAACCCUCAUCCAAUGGAUUGCAAAAUCUAUUGGAUGGAUUUGGAUGCUGCCGUCGCCGGCUCAUCUCGAAAUACAUUAGCUUUGCGCCCAUUAGUGUGCUCGGUGUGAUAAUUAUCAUUCGCCUUAGGCCGCUUCCAGUGACGCUGCUUCUAAUGGUCCCUCGUGGACAACAUAACCAAAGCUUUGGCCUCAAAUCAGGUAGGACUACCCGCUGA
rnacentral:misc_RNA from 1 species